rnacentral:rRNA from 1 species
UGGGGAAUUUUGGACAAUGGGCGAAAGCCUGAUCCAGCAAUGCCGCGUGUGUGAAGAAGGCCUUCGGGUUGUAAAGCACUUUUGUCCGGAAAGAAAUCCUUGGCUCUAAUACAGUCGGGGGAUGACGGUACCGGAAGAAUAAGCACCGGCUAACUACGUGCCAGCAGCCGCGGUAAUACGUAGGGUGCAAGCGUUAAUCGGAAUUACUGGGCGUAAAGCGUGCGCAGGCGGUUUGCUAAGACCGAUGUGAAAUCCCCGGGCUCAACCUGGGAACUGCAUUGGUGACUGGCAGGCUAGAGUAUGGCAGAGGGGGGUAGAAUUCCACGUGUAGCAGUGAAAUGCGUAGAGAUGUGGAGGAAUACCGAUGGCGAAGGCAGCCCCCUGGGCCAAUACUGGCGCUCAUGCACGAAAGCGUGGGGGAGCAAACAGGAUUAGAUACCCUGGUAGUCCACGCCCUAAACGAUGUCAACUAGUUGUUGGGGAUUCAUUUCCUUAGUAACGUAGCUAACGCGUGAAGUUGACCGCCUGGGGAGUACGGUCGAAGAUUAAAACUUAAAGGAAUUGACGGGGUCAUAGCUGUUUCCU